rnacentral:hammerhead_ribozyme from 1 species
GGACUACUGAAGAGUCGUAAACUAGGACGAAACGAUCGUCCAGUGU